GAUGAAGAACGUAGCGAAAUGCGAUAAGUAAUGUGAAUUGCAGAAUUCAGUGAAUCAUCGAAUCUUUGAACGCACCUUGCGCCCUUUGGCUAUUCCGAAGGGCAUGCCUGUUUGAGUAUCAUGAACACCUCAACUCUCAUGGCUUGCCAUGAUGAGCUUGGACUUUUGGGGGUCUUGCUGGCCUGUGGUCAGCUCCUCUCAAAUGAAUUAGCCUGCCAGUGUUUGGUGGCAUCACAGGUGUGAUAACUAUCUACGCUUGUGGUUUUCCACCAGGUAACCUUCAGUGAUGAAGGUUCGCUGGGGCUCAUAAACGUCUCUCCUCAGUGAGGACAGCUCUUUGAACGUUUGAUCUCAAAUCAGGUAGGACUACCCGCUGAACUUAAGCAUAUCAAUAAGCGGAGGA
rnacentral:misc_RNA from 1 species